rnacentral:lncRNA from 1 species
CCCCCCACCCCCCUUCCCAGCUCCAUCUCCCUUCUCAGCAACUCUCCCUCCUUACCUCUCUUUGACCUCCUUUAUUCUCCUUCACAGCCUGGCCCUUGACUUCUCGGCCUCUUCUUUCCCUUCUUUACCUGCAAUGUCCUGCCCCUACUGGGGUCUCCUUCGCACCCUUCUCUCGGGUCCCGUCCCUUCAGACGCCAAACCCCAGCAUUCCUCAACGGCUCGGCCUGGUCGGCUUUAGCCCGAUUUUGUUCCCGUGCCCCUGGGCUGGGAAACAAGUGUGCGGUGCAAAGUGGGGGCAAGAAUCCCCCUCGGCGGUGGCCCCUGCCUCGCCCCCCUCCGCCCCUCCCGAGUCCCGGUUGCGGCGCUUCCUGGGCGGAUGGUUGGGACUCGCUGCAGCAGCUGCGGUUCUGCUGUGUCAUGCAAGAAGGAGGCGGCGGCGGAGCCGGCCGGAGCUGGAGGGGGAGGAGGGGAGGAACCUGAUCUCUCCGGUAGCGAAGGGCUGGAGGCAAACACCGAGCUCCCCCAGAGCCGCCCGGGAGCAGGGAGGGCACCGCUACCCCGAGGGGCCCUCCCCGCGGGGCAGAUGGUCCUGGGUGAUGACAAAAAGAGCAAUUUGCUUUUCCUCGUCUAUCUCACUCCAUCAUACCACCUUGCAUCAGUUGAUGGAGUCUGGAGAAUCCAUUUCGGGGCCACUGCAGUUCUGUAAUACACUGUAACCACUCACAAGGAUGCUCAGCCCCAGUUUCCCAUCAAAGGGAAAGAUGACUUUUAGCAGGAAGAGCUGUAUCACCUCUUAGAGAAACCACCAGCUUCUCAGUCUGCGUUUGCUUCCGUAGAAAGGUGCUACUGCUCUCAGGAGAGAAUGUAGAGAAUAUCGAAGGAGAAAAGGUUUUGACUUUGUCUUGAGAACGUGGAAACCUUCCACCUAGCAAAAGAGGACCUUUCGGUCCAGUGUCCUUGAAUUUAAGAAACUAAAGUAACAGAUGGAGUUUAAACAACAUUUAAAACAUUAUGACAUCCUGUAUUAUUUAGUUAGACCGGGAGUUGGCAAAAACUUUUUCUGUAAAGGGCCAGGUGGGAAAUAAAUUUUAAGCUUUGUGGGCCA